GAGGUGGCCGUACAGUAAGGACCUGCUGAUAGUAAUGGAAGACCCUAUUCUUGGAGCAUCAACCCACUUCCUAUCAAACAAAACUGAAGCCACCUGAGCAAGGACCCUUCUCCUUUACCUACGGUCACAAGGGUGAACCUCAGAUGAUUUGGCCUGAGCCAGACCCUGAUCCUCCUGCCUCCGUCUGGAGGAAAAUUCUACUCCAGAAGAACUGAUGCGUUUAAAUAUUGGGUAUCAUUGAAACCGCAGAGUCAUGCACCGAGGGGUGGUAUUUGUCUCCUUUGAUUGGGAUUGGUAGAGCAAGUGGUGGGGACAUAGUUUAAGGGUACAGUGCCUGCCAGGUACAACCACCACACCAGGGGGCAAAGAGGGAAGAAAGAAAAUGGAGGGAAGAGAGGUUGGCUGAGUAGAGCGUGUAAGGUUGACUGGUUGGCAACCCUUGUCACCUUGGUGGAGUACUGGCUGAAACCCCAAAGAACAUUUGAAAAGUGAUUUUUGGCAAAGGAGCCAAAAUGUGCUGCUUAGUUCCCCACCACCUCCCACCCCACAGGCGUGAGAUCAGGGACAGAACCACAGAUGUUCUCUCAGGACGGUGUGACAUCACACUCUCCUGGGUUAGAAAUGCAUGGUUUUUAUUAUAUUACUCUAUUUUCAAAACAGGGUCUCCUGGUGCCCCGGCAAGCCUCAAACUCAUUGCUGGCUGAAGCUGCCCAGCACUCUGAGCCUCCUGCCUCAGCCUACAGAGUGCUGGGUUGAGAGGGUUAUCAGCACCGUGGUGUUGGGCUUCUGCUGUCCUAAAGAGGAGCUGCCACAUCCCACUGAGAGUCUGGGAAGGCUGAUCUUGUUCUGUAGAUAGACCAGGUAGUCACCUUUGUCACACAGGCACCAAGACAUCAAGAUUCUUGGAAAAAUGCUCCAUAAACAAGCACUGGAAUCGAGGCCACCAACCGUGCUUGCCAAGCUCAUAUUUGCAACUAAUUGGUUAACUCUAAAAGACAAAUGGCCUCAACCAUAAAAUAAGAGUAGCAUCCAAACCCUCUUGAUGGUCACUUCUGGCUUUGAUACAUGAUUAUUCAAUAGCCACAGGUUUUUUGCUUUUGUUUUUGUUUUUUUAACUUCUUGAUGUGUGGGCAUUAAGCAGACAAGUCUGCGUGUGAGAAUGUGUUUCAUAUGUCUUUGAUGUGAAAAUAUAGUUGUGUUAAGUUUUUCCUUC
rnacentral:lncRNA from 1 species